rnacentral:tRNA from 1 species
GCCGCGGCGAUAGCUCAGUGGGUAGAGCGCCAGGUGAGAAGAUGGCGAUUACUCCGAGAGCUAUUGUCUACGCGGGUUCGAAUCCCGCCUGUGGCA